AGAUUCAUCGGACUAAAGAUGAGAGACCGACUCUGCCUAGAUAUUCCCCCUCCCCCCUUGGCGUUUUGAUGGUUCUUAGAGCAGAGUAAGCUCUCAUUUGUUGAGUGAAUUCAUGAAUGGCUUUUGUUAAGCAAAACUAGUGACUGAAUAUCACAGCCUUCUGGAACAGGAGAACUUUGCUUUGUGGCUGUUACAAACGAGACAUUUUUUACAAAAUUGGAGCUGGAAGCUAACAAGUCCAAGUGAUUCUGUCUUCCUAACCUGCGUGGACCUGGGCUUGGUGCAUGGUUGAUGGAGUGCUAAGGAAGCAGAGCCAACCAAGCAAACCAAGGUGGUGCCGGUAAAAUAAGAGGAUCCAGAAGAAAAUGAUAUCAUGAAAGCAAAAAAGAGUUAAUUAUGCUAAAUGCUGCUAUAAUAUCAAGAAAUUGAAAUGACUAUUGAAUGUGGUAGCAUGGACAUUAUCCAUCUGCAUGCCUGACAUUUUGACAUGCUUGUAGGUAGGAAAUGUAACAUAACCAAAAAAGCACUUCUGAUUCCUCUUUCAUCACACUGUACUGCACUCGUAACUAAAAACACACGCAGGCACAUAAAAGCUCAUCACCUUUGAUAUUGGUUAGGCAUUAUUCUGUAUCAUCAACUUUUAUAUAUAGUCUACUAGAAAGUCCUAUUAUCUUUCACCUCAAAUAUCCCCAGUUUCUUUCAAGUCCAUUAGUCCUUGUCAUUAUCAUCCAAGAUACACCAUGACAAAGUCUUUUUUUUAAAGAUUUAUUUGUUUUUAUGUAUAUGAGUAUAUUGAAGCUGUCUUCAGAUACACCAGAAGAAGGUAUCCGAUCCAAUUACAGAUGAUUGUGAGCCACCUUGUGGUUGCUGGGAGUUAAACUCAGAAUGUCUGGAAGAGCAGUCAGUUUUCUUAACCACGGAGACAUCUCUCCAGCCCAACAAAGUCUUCCUUACUUUUUCUUUUUCAUUUCAAAAUCGACUGUAUAUAAAUAACAUCAGCCUGAAGAUUUGAAAUGUAAAUUAGAGCAGUUUUUUUUUUUAACACACUGCAAAUUUCUCCUCUAUUUUCUACUUGUCUUUGAGAUUUGAUGCCCAUUUCCUUUGAUUUCACUUUGUGCCUCUCCUCUUUCUCACUACACUGUACAAAUUGAUCUUUCAGCUCAGAAUUAUGGAGUGUCCUUUCUGUUUCUGCUUGUUAUUUCCUCAGGACCGUAUGCUCUAACUUUCUUUUUUAUUCGUCUUUCUCCACAUAGGUGACUUUGCCUUGAGGUCUACUUUACGUUCACGGGCUGCCUUCUACAUGACUUCCUACUUAGACAGUUUGGCACAUUUAUUUUCUUUAAAGUACUUUAUUUUCAUCUGAAAUUAAUUUAGCAUCAUCUCACUAAAAACUUUGUCAGCUCUGUGGGAGCAGGGAUUUUUGUCUGCUAAAUACUGUAAACUCAGAAUCUAGAUUAGGUCCUAAUAGAUACCUGUCAGUAUUUAUUGCCCGAAUGAACAAAUAAAUCUUUUAAUCUGUGUAGUAUCUUCCUAAUUUUUCUUAUAACAACUGUUCACAUUUUAUCUAUAUGCUUAGCAUAUCAUUCAAAUCAAUGUACACAUUACACAUAUUACAUGUAAUUAUGGUUAUUAUUUUUACUGGACAGUCUCAAAUGUUAGUGAGUUUUUGGUUUUAUUUUAGCUUUAAAAACUGUGUGUGUGUGUGUGUGUGUGUGUGUGUGUGAAUGCAAAUGUGGGUCGUGACAUACAUGUGGAGGUCAGAGGGCAACCUUGAGUGUCUCUCCAUGCCAUCUACUUUAAGACAUGGUCUCUUGUCAUUCACCACUGUGUAAGCCAAGUUAGCUGUUUUUAAUCAUGGGUUUUUUCUUUUGAAGAAUGUUUAUUUAAGGAACUAUUUUACACCAAAUACUCUUUGAAGCAUUUAAAAAACAUGUAUAUAAACCCAUGAUUUUGCUUUCAAAUCAGCAUUAGCUUCUCUUGCAUUCUCCCUUUCCUGCGCCCUCCUUUUUGUCUCCAGAGUUCUUGGGUUUCUCUUUCUAAUGAUUCUAUAUACGGUGUUUAAAUUUAUGAUGUAUCUGAUGCUCUUCAGGAGACUCUUAGGAUCCUACUGUUACAAUGGCCAGGUUUCUAGGUCUUGUUCAUUAUUAGAUUACUAAAAUUUAUCUGUUGAUUAUGUGAUUCAGAAUAUAUGAAGACUUUAUAGGCUGUAAUAAAAUAGUGGGUAAGUCUAGCAGAAAUAGUCUUAACAGUGAUAAAUGUUAAAGUGUGGUUUUAGGAAUAACAGCACAGGUAGAAAAUGUGAAACAAUAUCUUUGUCUUUAUUAUCUCUGUAUAUGAAAGAUAUUGUAUAUAUGUGUAUAUGUGGUAAUAUAUCACAUAUGAGGUAAUAUAUAAAAGGUAAUAUAGUAUACAAAAAAAUCUAUGCAGGUUUUUCACUUGAUUUAUAAAGUAUAAUAUCUA
rnacentral:lncRNA from 1 species